UACGUAGGGGGCAAGCGUUAUCCGGAAUUACUGGGCGUAAAGCGCACGCAGGCGGUUCGCCAAGUGUGGAGUGACAGUUGUCGGCUCAACCGACAAAGGACUUCAAAAACUGGUGAACUUGAGGACGAGAGAGGAACAUGGAACUCCAGGUGUAGUAGUGAAAUGCGUAGAUAUCUGGAAGAACACCAAUGGCGAAGGCAAUGUUCUGGCUCGUUUCUGACGCUCAGGUGCGAAAGCCAGGGGAGCGAACGGG
rnacentral:rRNA from 1 species